UACGUAGGGGGCAAGCGUUAUCCGGAUUUACUGGGUGUAAAGGGAGCGUAGACGGCAGGGCAAGUCCGAUGUGAAAACCCGGGGCUCAACCGCGGGAUUGCAUUGGAAACUGCUCGGCUCGAGUACUGGAGGGGUAAGCGGAAUUCCUAGUGUAGCGGUGAAAUGCGUAGAUAUUAGGAGGAACACCGGCGGCGAAGGCGGCUUACUGGACAGUAACUGACGUUGAGGCUCGAAAGCGUGGGGAGCAAACAGGAUUAGAUACCCCGGUAGUCCCUGAGCGGGGCUGG
rnacentral:rRNA from 1 species